AUACGGAGGGCGCAAGCGUUGCCCGGAAUCACUGGGUGUAAAGGGUGCGUAGGCGGGGCUGUAAGUCAGAGGUGCAAGCCCUCGGCUCAACCGGGGAAUUGCCUCUGAUACUGCAGCUCUUGAGUCCCGGAGAGGCCGCUGGAAUUCCUGGUGUAGCGGUGAAAUGCGUAGAUAUCAGGAGGAACACCGGAGGCGAAGGCGGGCGGCUGGACGGGGACUGACGCUGAGGCACGAAAGCGUGGGGAGCGAACAGGAUUAGAAACCCUAGUAGUCC
rnacentral:rRNA from 1 species